CUGGGGUAAGAGGGAAGAGGACGCGUGGGAGCUAAGUGUCAGUGCCAGCCGGGUCACUUGUGCGAACUGGGCCAUCUAAACCCCACGCAACUGCCCAAGUGUGAAAUAGUAGUCAUGUAAUAUCUCACCAACAUCGAACUCGAGCUUCGAGAGGUUCGGCUUGCAGCACGCGGGCUGCAGGUCGACGGGCCCCGUGCACCGGGUGUCGGUGAAGUUGGUGAAGACCUUGAAGCAGAUCCAGUCGUUGUUAGCAACGCCCUGCAGGUAGCCGUCCCACUUCAGGCGCCAAGGGCUCACACGCAGGCGGUCAUCGCAGCGGCAGUAAGGGAACCGCGGAGGCUUGGCUUGCAGAAGCGUCCUGCGC
rnacentral:lncRNA from 1 species